UACGUAGGUGACCAGCGUUGUCCGGAUUUACUGGGCGUAAAGAGCGCGCAGGCGGUCGUUCAAGUCGAGUGUGAAAGCCCCCGGCUCAACUGGGGAGGGUCACUCGAUACUGAUCGACUUGAAGGCAGGAGAGGGAAGCGGAAUUCCCGGUGUAGUGGUGAAAUGCGUAGAUAUCGGGAGGAACACCAGUGGCGAAGGCGGCUUCCUGGCCUGUUCCUGACGCUGAGGCGCGAAAGCUAGGGGAGCAAACGGG
rnacentral:rRNA from 1 species